rnacentral:rRNA from 1 species
GUCUUUAUGAUUAUAAUUUAAAGUCUAGCCUGCCCAAUGAUUAAUUUAAUGGCCGCAGUAUUUUGACUGUGCUAAGGUAGCAUAAUCAUUAGUUUUUUAAUUGAAAGCUGGAAUGAAGGGUUGGACGAAGCAUAGACUUUCUUAAUAAAAAUUUUUUAUAAAUUUACUUUUAAGUUAAAAGGCUUAAAUUUAUUAUAGGGACGAGAAGACCCUAUAGAGUUUUAUUUUAUUUUUUUUAUUUUAUUUUAGUAUUUAAUUUAAUAAUAAAAAUUGAAUUUAAUUGGGGUGAUUGAAAAAUUUAAUUAACUUUUUUUAUAUUUUUACAAGGAUUUUUGGUUAGUUGAUCCUUUGGGGGAUUGUAAGAUUAAACUACCUUAGGGAUAACAGCGUAAUUUAUUUUUAGAGUUCAUAUUGAAAAAUGAGUUUGCGACCUCGAUGUUGGAUUAAGGUUUUGUUUUGGUGUAGGUGCUAAAAUUAUAGGUCUGUUCGACCUUUUAAACUUUACA